rfam:Gossypium raimondii Chr02_contig_1484, whole genome shotgun sequence.
UGUUAAAAAUUUCAUCCAUUUGUAUAGUUAAAAAUUGGUAUGUAUGAUGAAAUAACAAAACAGUGACGUGAUGUGCCAUGUGUACCUUAUGCUGACAUAAAUGGAUCAAUUUUUAACGGUAAAAAUGGAUGAAAUUUUUAAUA